CACGUAGUUAGCCGGCGCUUCAUUAACCCAGCUACCGUCAACCCCACCACAAAGAGCAGGACCUUCUUCGCUGGCGAAAGAGGUUCACAACCCGAAGGCCUCCAUCCCUCACGCGGCGUCGCUGCAGCAGGCUUGCGCCCAUUGUGCAAUAUUCCCCACUGCUGCCUCCCGUAGGAGUCUGGGCCGUGUCUCAGUCCCAGUGUGACCGCCCACCCUCUCAGGCCGGCUACCCGCCAAAGCCUUGGCAGGCCAUCACCCCACCAACAAGCUGAUAGGCCGCGAGCCCAUCCCCCACCAAAACAACCAAAACCGGUCGAAUCUUUCCAAACCCACCCAUGCGAGCAGGCCAGAACACCCCGUAUUAGCCACCCUUUCAAGCGGUUAUCCAGAAGUGAGGGGCAGGUUACUCACGUGUUACUCACCCGUUCGCCACUAACCCCACCCCCAAAAAACGAGGACAAGGCCCGUUCGACUUGCAUGUGUUAAGCACGCCGCCAGCGUCGUCUCGUAGUCCACGGACGUCGAAACUACUACUAC
rnacentral:rRNA from 1 species